GAUGAACGCUAGCGGCAGGCCUAACACAUGCAAGUCGAGGGGCAGCACAGGUAGCAAUACUGGGUGGCGACCGGCGGAUGGGUGCGUAACGCGUAUGCAACCUACCAUUGAUUGGGGCAUAGCCCGAAGAAAUUCGGAUUAAUACUCCAUAAUAUUCAUCAAAGGCAUCUUUUAUGAAUUAAAGCUUUUGCGAUCAAUGAUGGGCAUGCGUGACAUUAGUUAGUUGGUGAGGUAACGGCUCACCAAAACGAUGAUGUCUAGGGGUUCUGAGAGGAUUAUCCCCCACACUGGUACUGAGACACGGACCAGACUCCUACGGGAGGCAGCAGUGAGGAAUAUUGGUCAAUGGACGCAAGUCUGAACCAGCCAUGCCGCGUGCAGGAUGACGGCCCUAUGGGUUGUAAACUGCUUUUCCACGGGAAGAACCCUCCGACGUGUCGGAGACUGACGGUACCGUGGGAAUAAGCAUCGGCUAACUCCGU
rnacentral:rRNA from 1 species